AAACAUAAUUCUACCAGAUCUCCUGGAUCCAUAAAUUUCACCUUUAAAAUUCUACAUCCAAACCCACCAUUAAAGAAAUUACAUCUUACUUACACCUUUCAUAGGUAAUGAACCGUCUCCCCCACGCCCUUCCUUCCACCGAGAGAACUACCCAUGAUUACCCCCACUUCCUCCCAUCAACAAAAUUAACCCAGCAAACAACCUCCUCAGAGAAAGGAUGAAGAAGCCGGAUGUGAGCUAUGCUCAUGGACAACUGAAUAUCCAGAAAGGUUAAUUACCAUACAAAAAAAAAAUCUAAAAGUGGAUAAAGAAAGAUGUUGUCCAACUGGAGGAAUAAAGACAAAGCAGGGAUCUUUACAUAAAAUGGUUUGGAUACAGGGUUUUUGUGAUUUUGGUUGAUUCGGAGGAAGGGAAGUUCUUUAUCUUCUGUGUUUUUCCGGAAGAGAAUCUUAUGUUUGAUUGUAAAAUCAAUUUUAGGUCAACUAGAAUUGAGUGUUCUAUAUUGUUUGAUUGUUCAUCAAUUUGUAGAUGGUCACUUCUCUUUUUCUAAGGAAAAAAAAAACACUCUUUCGUUGAUAAUAAUUUUGUUAUUAUCGAGGAAAUUGAUUUGUUUGUAACCAAAGUUUAGAUUUUACUCAUUUCUGAUUCUAGGUUUUCCUCAAGAUGAAAAAAGCUGAUGUGAACCUACAAUAGACAAACAGUUUAGUUUCAAAUGAAGGUGGAAUUGGUAUUCCUCAAGAUGAUCUCGAUCAUUUCUAGAAUUCAGAGUUAUGUUAAAUUGAGAUCAUUCUUUGAUUAAUAUAUUGUUUGGAAAAGGAGUCUACUGUGCUGAUAAGGUGAGAAAGAGCGGGAAGUCUCCUUGGAAUAGGUCUAUGAUCUCAAGAAAGCUUCUGUGAGAGAAUUGAUCCUGUAAAUUGUCAUCUAUCUUUAUUUGUGUUCAUGUGUUUCACAUUUACAGGAGUACAUGUAAGCACUCAGUUCUUACAGGCAUAUAUGUGUUUUCACGUGUUUUUGAUGGGAUCUUUGAUUUCUUUCCAAGGUGGAACAAGUGAUGACUUGGAUGUUCCCACCUUUUGUGCUGAAUUUGCAAAGGAACAUGAAGUUUGUCUAUUGUAGGUUCAUUUUCUCUAUUGUAGUUUCAUUUUCUUAUCUGUAACUACUUCCUCCCAUUUGGUUGAUUUCCAUUUCAACAAUUUCAAGUUUGAUUUGGUUUUAUAUUGAAAUUAGUGUAUUGAUUUGUUGAACUAAUUAUGGGAUUUUUGAUUGAAGUGAUGGAGUUAACAAAUUCACUACCAAUUGAGUAGACUGUUGUUUUCCUCUGUGAUCAUCAUCAGCUGUGCAUACAAAUGGAAAAUGAAGAACUAUACUAAUCAACUUUUAUUUCUCUGUUUGUUUUCAGUUAACUUGAAAUUGUCUGAAAAUGAGCAGACCAAUUAUGAUUCCAUGGUUAAUGAAUAUUUUUUCUUUUUUCUCAUUUUCUUACUUUACAAUCAAAUACUAGCAUUUUUUGAUAUGUAAUGGUUUGGUUCAUUAAGUAUUUUCUGUGGCUUCGAAUUUUGAAAUGUUUUAAUAAAGGUCUAAGAUUUUGAAAUGUUUUGGCUGUUACUGCCUGCUGAUUAGAGUUUCGACUAACACUAUCAGAUGUUGAACCAGUUUGGUAAUCUUACUUCUAUUGGCUGUUUCUUAUGCUAGAUAAUCAAUGUUUCUAUUUAUUUACUUUUAGUUUUAUUGAUGCAAUAUCAUCACACAAGGGAGUUUUUUUUUUUUGUGAAGUUGCUCUUACAGAUCAUGCUGCUUCGGUGAUGGAAUAUCAUUACACAAGGACGCCUUAACAGGGGAGUUUUUUUAGUGAAGCUGCUCUUGCAAAUCAUACUGCUGCGUCAAUCCUUCAAUUUCAUAACCAAAUAUAUAAGAACACUGUGUCUCCUAAUAGAGAUUCUAAUGCUGAUUUGAACAAUUUUGUUAUACCUCUAGACAACAGUCAUGCUACAGCUGCAACGGGCACUAUUAGGAUGUUCAUAUAUUUUCUGAAAGUGUUUCUGCUGCCUGAGGGUUUGGAGUUUUCGGAGAAGAAAAGUAAGUAGACAGGGAUAUGGGAAAAUCAUCAUGACUUGGAUGGUUUUUGAGAGAGUGCAUGGAAAUAACGUAAGUGGUCAGACUUCACCAGAGGUUGGGUCUUUUUUCCUCCCUAGGAGCCAAUGCAUCACACUACAAGUACAAGCUAUGAGUUUUUGUAGAUGUACCAAUUUGGUGGUCCAUUAUUUACAUGGUUGGUCCAACAAGAAGUAUAAGAUUAUUAUUUUCGCAACUAAUUUGGUUGUGUUACUUUAUUGGUAGAUAUACUUAGAUCUACCAUGUACAGAUAUUUUACUCAAAUAAAUUUAAGUUAAACGAAAAUCUACUUAAUAGAGAAGUCACAAUAUGUAACUUU